rnacentral:rRNA from 1 species
AUUGAACGCUGGCGGCAGGCCUAACACAUGCAAGUCGAGCGGCAGCGGGAAAGUAGCUUGCUACUUUUGCCGGCGAGCGGCGGACGGGUGAGUAAUGCCUGGGGAUCUGCCCAGUCGAGGGGGAUAACUACUGGAAACGGUAGCUAAUACCGCAUACGCUCUACGGGGGAAAGCAGGGGACCUUCGGGCCUUGCGCCUUUGGAUGAACCCAGGUGGGCUUAGCUAGUUGGUGAGGUAAUGGCUCACCAAGGCGACGAUCCCUAGCUGGUCGGAGAGGAAGAUCAGGCACACUGGAACUGAGACACGGUCCAGACUCCUACGUGAGGCAGCAGUGGGGAAUAUUGCACUAUGGGGGAAACCCUGAUGCAGCCAUGCCGCGUGUGUGAAGAAGGCCUUCGGGUUGUAAAGCACUUUCAGCGAGGAGGAAAGGUUGGUAGCUAAUAACUGCCAGCUGUGACGUUACUCGCAGAAGAAGCACCGGCUAACUCCGUGCCAGCCGCCGCGGUAAGAC